UCAGACAUGGUGUGGCGGUACAUCGCCUUUUUCGAUUGAGGUUUUCUCUUUUAGUUCUGUGAGGCGGUCUCGGGUUCGAAUCCCGGUGUCCGAG